rnacentral:rRNA from 1 species
GACGAACGCUGGCGGCGUGCUUAACACAUGCAAGUCGAGCGAUGAAGUUCCUUCGGGAAUGGAUUAGCGGCGGACGGGUGAGUAACACGUGGGUAACCUGCCUCAUAGAGGGGAAUAGCCUUUCGAAAGGAAGAUUAAUACCGCAUAAGAUUGUAGUUUCGCAUGAAACAGCAAUUAAAGGAGUAAUCCGCUAUGAGAUGGACCCGCGUCGCAUUAGCUAGUUGGUGAGGUAACGGCUCACCAAGGCGACGAUGCGUAGCCGACCUGAGAGGGUGAUCGGCCACAUUGGGACUGAGACACGGCCCAGACUCCUACGGGAGGCAGCAGUGGGGAAUAUUGCACAAUGGGGGAAACCCUGAUGCAGCAACGCCGCGUGAGUGAUGACGGUCUUCGGAUUGUAAAACUCUGUCUUCAGGGACGAUAAUGACGGUACCUGAGGAGGAAGCCACGGCUAACUACGUGCCAGUCGCCGCGGUAAAAC